AAAAAUUACAAAAGAAACAAUAAGAAAUCUUAAAGAAAUUAAAAGAUAAUCCACAAUAAAUCUUAAAAGAAUCUUUAAAAAGGUGUAAAAAAUAUUAAAAUAAUUAUAAUAUAUCUUAAAUAAAUUUCAAAUAAGUUCUAAUUUAAUUCUAAUUAAAAUCCUAAUAGACUUCAAUCAAAUCUUAAGCAAACCCUAAAUCUUAAGUCAAAUCCUAAUCAAAUGUUAAAUCCUAAAUCAAAUCCUAAUAAAAUAAUAAAUCCUAAAUCAAAUCAUAAAUAAAUCCUAAAUCCUAAACCAAAUUCUAACUAAAUUCUAAAUCCUAAAUCAAAUCCUAACCAAAUUCUAAAGUCUAAAUCAAAUCCUAAAGUAAUUUAAAACCUCAAUAUCUUUUGAUUAAAUUAUUGAUGUUAUUUAAAAUUAUAUAAAGCUUUCAAUCUCUUAGUUACAAAUAAAUACAAUAAAUUUGAGGACAAUUGCACUUACCAAAUAAAAGAAAAUUUUGAAAUCUGCUUGGAUGUUGGUUGGCUUCUUGAUCCAAUCUUAAUGCUAAUAUUCUAGUGCUAAUAUCUCUCCUUUGUACCACUAAAUUGAUCUAAAAUUUCUCAUAAACUUAAAAAAUCAAGUUUAUUAUCCAUGCACAUAACUUUCAUUCUAAUCCAACUAAUAGAUUGCAAGAAAUCUUAGAAACCUUCACUAGACCUAAAAUUCUACUUUCUGAAACCUUGACCCACUUAAAUCUCAAUAAUCUUCAAUUCAGCUAUUAGAUCAAGUUAAAAUUUUUAAAACUUGUUAAGCACAACUAUAACCAUUG
rnacentral:lncRNA from 1 species